GGCUCAGGACGAACGCUGGCGGCGUGCUUAACACAUGCAAGUCGAACGAUGAAGCCCUUCGGGGUGGAUUAGUGGCGAACGGGUGAGUAACACGUGGGCAAUCUGCCCUUCACUCUGGGACAAGCCCUGGAAACGGGGUUUAAUACCGGAUAACACUCCUGCCUGCAUGGGCGGGGGUUAAAAGCUCCGGCGGUGAAGGAUGAGCCCGCGGCCUAUCAGCUUGUUGGUGGGGUAAUGGCCCACCAAGGCGACGACGGGUAGCCGGCCUGAGAGGGCGACCGGCCACACUGGGACUGAGACACGGCCCAGACUCCUACGGGAGGCAGCAGUGGGGAAUAUUGCACAAUGGGCGAAAGCCUGAUGCAGCGACGCCGCGUGAGGGAUGACGGCCUUCGGGUUGUAAAC
rnacentral:rRNA from 1 species